rnacentral:rRNA from 1 species
UACGUAGGGUGCAAGCGUUGUCCGGAAUUAUUGGGCGUAAAGAGCUCGUAGGCGGUUUGUCGCGUCUGCUGUGAAAACUCGGGGCUUAACUCCGGGCCUGCAGUGGGUACGGGCAGACUAGAGUGCGGUAGGGGAGACUGGAAUUCCUGGUGUAGCGGUGAAAUGCGCAGAUAUCAGGAGGAACACCGGUGGCGAAGGCGGGUCUCUGGGCCGUAACUGACGCUGAGGAGCGAAAGCGUGGGGGGCAAACAGG